CAGUUCGGUCCCUAUCUUCCGUUGGGCGUAGAGAAUUGGUUGGGGCUGCUCCUAGUACGAGAGGCCCGGAGUGGACGCACCACUGGUGUUCCGGUUGGGUCCCCCAGACGCAUUCCCGGGUAGCUAAGUGCCGAAGAGAUAAGUGCUGAAAGCAUCUAAGCACGAAACUUGCCAAGAGAUGAGUUCUCCCAAUCUAAGAGAUAGUAAGGGUUGUUGUAGACUACGACGUAGAUAGGUCUGGUGUGUAAGUGUAGUGAUACAUUGAGCUAACAGAUACUAAUUGCCCGAGAGGCUUAACU
rnacentral:rRNA from 1 species